rnacentral:lncRNA from 1 species
CAACAAAAAUAUUUUCAAACGGGUUUCCCCCAUAGUGCAGCAUUGAAACAGAGUUACUGUGAAUACAGAAGACUGUCUAUCCCACAGCAGGCAAUGCAAUUAAAGACUUCAGAGAAUGCCAGAUUUUUCAGAAUGCAUCAUAGAAUUUUCAAAGCUGUAAGAAAGAGGUGAGGAUGCUGAGAUGUAGAGAGACUGAUUUGCUCAAGAUAACAAAGAGUUUUAUUGAUUUGGGAACCCAUGGAAGGGGGUCAGCUGUGAGAUAUCACAUGAUCAGACUGACUGCCUGACCAGACUGACUGCCAUCCUGUUAAAGGAAUGAAUCACAGUUCAUCUCGCAGAUUUAUGGCAUGCCUACAGAAAAAGUACCUUAUGAUGCAAACCUGAAAGUUUAAAUAAUCUCCUGAAAGUUCCACAAUCAGAUGAGAAAACUGAGGUUCAAAGAAGAUUAUCAUUCCUGUGAAACCUCCCCCCAAAAUCCAUGUUAUCAUCCUUUUGAAUAAUACUGGAGUAAUUUCUGUAUCCAUAAAAGAUGGUGAAUCCUUUUUAGAUAAAUUAUUUAGUUAUGAAAUAAAGGCAAAGGGAUUGAAUUUAACAGGGGCUUGACUUGCUAAGGUCUGGGCCUCUUUUCUAAUGACCCUGCUGAAUAUUACGGGAAACUAUUUUAGAAGCAAUAGGAAUUCAGCUUCAUAGCAUCAGAGAACCUUCUAAGGGGCAGAAUUGAGGGCUUCACUAAGGGAUUAGCUUUAAAAAAAGUGCAAACUAAAAAUUUCAUUUGGAAAUUAGUAGAAUUUCAAGAGAUUCAAGAUCUUCUAAGUUGGUUGUGAUUGCAGAAGAGUGAGGGAAUAGGUAGAGCCUCAGAGAUGGUAACAGGGCUUUGAGAUAUUUGAGAGUGCUACAGUUGUCUAGAGGCCUAAAUUGAAGUUACUUAGUUGUGUGGUGAUAUGGUUCAGCUGUGUCCCCACCCAAAUCUCAUCUUGAAUUGUAGUUCCCAUAAUCCCCA